UACGGAGGGUGCAAGCGUUAUCCGGAUUCACUGGGUUUAAAGGGUGUGUAGGCGGGUAGUUAAGUCAGUGGUGAAAUCUCCGGGCUCAACCCGGAAACUGCCAUUGAUACUAUCUAUCUUGAAUAUUGUUGAGGUAGGCGGAAUAUAUCAUGUAGCGGUGAAAUGCUUAGAUAUGAUAUAGAACACCGAUUGCGAAGGCAGCUUACUAAACAAUUAUUGACGCUGAGGCACGAAAGCGGUGGGAUCAAACAGG
rnacentral:rRNA from 1 species